GACGAACGCUGGCGGCGUGCCUAAUACAUGCAAGUCGAGCGGACUUUCAAGAAGCUUGCUUUUUGAAAGUUAGCGGCGGACGGGUGAGUAACACGUGGGCAACCUGCCUGUAAGACGGGGAUAACUCCGGGAAACCGGGGCUAAUACCGGAUAAUAUCUUUCUUCGCAUGAAGGAAGGUUGAAAGGCGGCGCAAGCUGCCGCUUGCAGAUGGGCCCGCGGCGCAUUAGCUAGUUGGUGAGGUAACGGCCCACCAAGGCGACGAUGCGUAGCCCGCCUGAGAGGGUGAGCGGCCACACUGGGACUGAGACACGGCCCAGACUCCUACGGGGGGCAGCAGGAGGGAAUCUUCCGCAAUGGACGAAAGUCUGACGGAGCAACGCCGCGUGAGCGAAGAAGGUCUUCGGAUCGUAAAGCUCUGUUGUCAGGGAAGAACAAGUACCGUUCGAAUAGGGCGGUACCUUGACGGUACCUGACCAGAAAGCCACGGCUAACUACGUGCCAGCCGCCGCCGUAA
rnacentral:rRNA from 1 species